AGCCUCGUGGUGGAGAGCACAUUGGAUUGCAAGUCCGAAGACGUGGACGAUAGUCCGCCGGGGCUU
rnacentral:tRNA from 1 species